rnacentral:rRNA from 1 species
UGCAAGUCGAGCGGAAAGGCCACUUCGGUGGUACUCGAGCGGCGAACGGGUGAGUAACACGUGAGUAAUCUGCCCUUGGCUUCGGGAUAGCCACCGGAAACGGUGAUUAAUACCGAAUAUGACCUCUGCACGCAUGUGUGGUGGUGGAAAGUUUUUUCGGCCAGGGAUGUGCUCGCGGCCUAUCAGCUUGAUGGUGAGGUAAUGGCUCACCAUGGCUUCGACGGGUAGCCGGCCUGAGAGGGUGACCGGUCACACUGGGACUGAGACACGGCCCAGACUCCUACGGGAGGCAGCAGUGGGGAAUAUUGGACAAUGGGCGGAAGCCUGAUCCAGCAACGCCGCGUGAGGGAUGACGGCCUUCGGGUUGUAAACCUCUUUCAGCAGGGACGAAGCGCAAGUGACGGUACCUGCAGAAGAAGCACCGGCCAACUACGUGCCAGCAGCCGCGGUAAUACGUAGGGUGCGAGCGUUGUCCGGAAUUAUUGGGCGUAAAGGGCUCGUAGGCGGUUUGUCGCGUCGGGAGUGAAAACGCCGUGCUUAACACGGCGCUUGCUUUCGAUACGGGCAGACUAGAGGUAUUCAGGGGAGAACGGAAUUCCUGGUGUAGCGGUGAAAUGCGCAGAUAUCAGGAGGAACACCGGUGGCGAAGGCGGUUCUCUGGGAAUGACCUGACGCUGAGGAGCGAAAGUGUGGGGAGCGAACAGGAUUAGAUACCCUGGUAGUCCACACCGUAAACGUUGGGCGCUAGGUGUGGGGUCCAUUCCACGGAUUCCGUGCCGCAGCUAACGCAUUAAGCGCCCCGCCUGGGGAGUACGGCCGCAAGGCUAAAACUCAAAGGAAUUGACGGGGGCCCGCACAAGCGGCGGAGCAUGCGGAUUAAUUCGAUGCAACGCGAAGAACCUUACCUGGGUUUGACAUACACCCUGCCGCUCCAGAGAUGGGGCUUCUUUUGGGGGUGUACAGGUGGUGCAUGGCUGUCGUCAGCUCGUGUC